CAUAGCAAAAGUUUGGAGCUUUGUCUGCUGAAAGUCAGUUUUGAAACAAUUGAAUGAAAGGAGAGCUACUGACUGAUAUCAUAAGCUACAGUAGGGAACGUAGUGAUUAAACGUUUAGCCGGUGUAGUAGCGACGAAAUCCAUACCUCAGAGGUUGCCAGCUAAACCAGUUCCAAAGAGUAGUCGAAGAUUGAGAGCAUUCCUGCUAUCAAGAAACCUGUUAUCAAGAAGCCUGAUAUCAAAAAACCUGAUAUCAAGACAUGCAGCACUGUCAAAUCGCUCCAGUACCUUGGUCGAGUUAAAUCGUUUCUGCUCAGAUGUCCGCUGGAGUACUUCGUAAUGUUGUUCUAAGGAUGA